rnacentral:rRNA from 1 species
GGUUGCGAUCAUACCAGCACUAAUGCACCGGAUCCCAUCAGAACUAAGCAGUUAAGCAUGCUUGGGCGAGAGUACUACUAGGAUGAGUGACCCCUAGGGAAGUCCUCGCGUUGCAACCCC